rnacentral:misc_RNA from 1 species
GAUGAAGAACGUAGCGAAAUGCGAUAAGUAGUGUGAAUUGCAGAAUUCAGUGAAUCAUCGAAUCUUUGAACGCACAUUGCGCCCGGCAGUAAUCUGCCGGGCAUGCCUGUCCGAGCGUCAUUUCUGCCCUCGAGCGAGUCCAGCAUCUAGGUGCUGGGCCCGCCCGGCGUUGGGGCACUACGGGAAGCCCUGUGCUGUCCCCCGUAGGCCCCGAAAUGAAGUGGCGGUCCUGCCGCGGCGCCCCCUGCGUAGUAUAACAGCUCGCUGCGGGACCCGGUGGAGGCCUGCCGUCAAACCUUACUCUCUAAGUUUGACCUCGGAUCAGGUAGGGUUACCCGCUGAACUUAAGCAUAUCAAUAAGCGGAGGA